GGUAAACCUGAGUAAAUAAAGUGUCCUGACCUGCCAGCUGCUUAUCCUGACGGGCUGGGACAGCAACUGGUGGGGAAAUUUUUUGGUGGGGAAAAAC